AUUCCAGCUCCAAUAGCGUAUAUUAAAGUUGUUGCGGUUAAAAGUUCGUAGUUGGAUUUCUGUGAAGGAUAACCGGUCCGCACUAUGUGCGUGUAUCUGUUUGUCCUUUGCAUCCUCGCGGAAUACGUCACUGUGCUUCACUGCAUGGGGCGGGCUUCGCGACUUUUACUUUGAGGAAAUUAGAGUGUUCACGGCAGGCUCACGCCAUGAAUAUAUUAGCAUGGAAUAAUAAUAUAGGACCUUGGUUCUAUUUUGUUGGUUUCUAGGGCUAAGGUAAUGAUUAAUAGGGACAAUUGGGAGCAUUCGUAUUAACGCGUCAGAGGUGGAAUUCUUGGAUUGCGUUACGACGAACUACUGCGAAAGCAUUUGCCAAGGAUGUUUUCAUUA
rnacentral:rRNA from 1 species